rnacentral:rRNA from 1 species
GACGAACGCUGGCGGCGUGCCUAAUACAUGCAAGUCGAACGCACAGUUUAUACCGUAGCUUGCUCCACCAUAGACUGUGAGUUGCGAACGGGUGAGUAACGCGUAGGUAACCUGCCUGGUAGCGGGGGAUAACUAUUGGAAACGAUAGCUAAUACCGCAUAAUAUUAAUUAUUGCAUGAUAAUUAAUUGAAAGGUGCAAUUGCACCACUACCAGGUGGACCUGCGUUGUAUUAGCUAGUAGGUGAGGUAACGGCUCACCUAGGCGACGAUACAUAGCCGACCUGAGAGGGUGAUCGGCCACACUGGGACUGAGACACGGCCCAGACUCCUACGGGAGGCAGCAGUAGGGAAUCUUCGGCAAUGGACGAAAGUCUGACCGAGCAACGCCGCGUGAGUGAAGAAGGGUGUCGGAUCGUAAAGCUCUGUUGUAAGAGAAGAACGGGUGUGAGAGUGGAAAGUUCACACUGUGACGGUAGCUUACCAGAAAGGGACGGCUAACUACGUG